UCAGCCAUUCUAUUCUGCCCCCAAGUUGUGAGCUGUUGGAUUAUGGCCCGCAGUCAAGUGGAUUUAUUCCUUCUGUGAAGGUAGCUGUUAACAUCACUCACCUGGUAGGGUUGCAUGAGAACUGAAUGAGACAAUGCAUAUCAACGUAGAAGCUCUACCACUGGACACAUAGUAAGUACUCAUAAUUUCAUGUUGAGGGAAGAAGAAAGCCAAAAUGGAGACAAGAUCCUCUUCUUCCUUUAUUUGAUUUCCUGUGUUUAUGGUGUCCUAUGUUUGUUCACGUAAAGAGGUGGUAGUAUUGAUUGGUCAGAGUCCUAGUGCAGGGUUGGAAAACCUCACUGACUCCCUCAGAGAAGACGCAGAGUGGAGAAAGAGAAAAGUUGUUUGACUUCAGAGGACCUGGAUGACAGGAAUAAAAGCAAUGAUGAGAAAAUUACAUUUGUACUGGCUCCAUGGCAGAGGCCCAGGGCUGAGGCUCCAGCCAGUCCUGGAUGUCUCACCUAUCCCCUCUGGGCUGCAUUACAUGUCCUGCAGUGUGCAUGAGGCCUCUGAAACCAGCACAGGCGACAGAGAGAUGGCACAGGCCCAGCUCCAUGACAGUGAGGGCAGCCAUUUUGCUGACUGUGAGCUCUGAGGCACAGUGGAAGCAGCCAAAUAGGAGCGGUCACUCUGCCAGAAGGCACCGGGGUCAGCCAGGGAGGCCAGGACAACCUGGCUCAUCUUCCAUGGAGCAGAUGCCAGCAGAGACGUACAGCUCUGGAAGUCAAACCUGAGGGUCUCAGAAUCAUGGCUGCUCUGCUCAGGGUCUGCCCAAGGUUUUCCUAGAGUUCCGUCCAGAGUUCCCAGUUGGGCCUCCCCUACCUCCCAGGGAACCCAGCUUGAGUGCUGGGGCAGGUGGCUCUCCAAGCUCUUUUCAUUCAUUUCAUACUGCUGUACCACCACAGUCCAGGUAAAUGCUUAACAGUCAGAGUUUAUUUGUCUUACCCUUUUGGUAGUCCAAGACCAAGGGGCAACAUCUGGUGAUCAUAACACGGCAGAGGGCAUCACAUGGCGGAAUAAACUUGCUGAGUCGUAUGCUGAGUCUGCAUUUAUUGAAAGACAGAGAGACAGAUAAAGAUAUUCUGCCCAGUGGUUCACUCCCCCAAAUGCCCUCAACAUCCAAGCAUGGGACAGACAAAAACCGGGAGCCUAAAUCUCAACCUGGCACUCAAGUACUUGAGCCAUCAUCUGCUGCCUCCCAGGGUAUACAUUUAUGGAAAGCUUGGUUGGAAGUGGAGCAUGGACUCAGAUUCCAGCAAAACCUUCAGCCUCACUGUCAUGCUCACAGCAACUCCAGCAUUUUCUGAUUCCAUGGAAAGAGCUACCUUAUCUGGCCUAUCUAAGAAACAUCUCUUUGACUGUUGAGAGGGUCAAGUCCAGAGAUGGGGCUGGGAAGCCUCUCCUGAAGAAUACCAUUAGAAAGGAAGCAGAACAGCAUUCUAACACCUGUGGAAGCCCACUGCCUGCAAGGAGGGAAGGCCUUUCUUGUUCUGGAAUUCUGCCUUUGGGUGCAGCAUUAGAGAGCUAGCAGAGUAUCCAGGCUGCAGGGGAAGGCAUGACUGCUCUCUUCCUUCCCCCAGGUCCCUCAGUGUUCUAUUAGCUUUGUGUCAAUACUGUCAGCAGCUGGGAUGAAUGAUUGGAGCUCAUUCUCUGCGAGGAGUUGCACAUACUGUAUGGAAUGGAGGUGAAUGUGAGCAUAUGAUUUGUUUGUCUUGUUGCAGUCAGUACAUUUUCAGUCUAUUGUUAAUAAAGAAACUCAGCCCUGACAGCUGAUUAAUCUCA